rnacentral:misc_RNA from 1 species
GGUCAAUAACCUAAAAAAAACAAUUAAUUAUAAAUAUAAAAUGUCAUUCGAUAUGACUUUUUCUUCUUCACCUUCCUCAGAACGCGUUUGUUACUUGCAAUGUAAUUUUUGCAACACCAUUCUUGCGGUUAGUGUUCCAUGCAGCAACAUGUUAACCUUAGUGACAGUAAGAUGUGGGCAUUGUGCAAAUAUGCUUUCUGUUAAUAUUGGAUCUUUAAUUCAAGCUCUACCCCUUCAAGAUGUACAAAAGCUGCAAAGGCAACAGUACACAAAUGUUGAAAAUAAUUCUAGUAAUUAUAAAGCUUAUGGUUCAUCAUCAUCAUCCUCUUCAAAGUUCAACAGAUAUUCUUCCAUUGUUUCUCCUGAAAUUGAACCUAGAAUCCCUCCGAUUCGUCCACCAGAAAAAAGACAACGUGUUCCUUCUGCGUAUAACCGAUUCAUCAAGGAUGAGAUUCAAAGGAUAAAGGCCAGCAAUCCUGAUAUUAGCCAUCGUGAAGCUUUUAGCACUG